CAGAUAACGUCAACAUGCCCUAUAGCAGUUACAAGUGACAUCAAAAUGUUACUUCUAGACCCAAUGACACUUCACAUUAAUUUACCUUCGAUGAACCUACCUCAUAUCAAGUCGCCAGUCGAUACCGAAUAAUCAAUUGCAAAACCACUGAUUAGUUGUUAUCUGUCAUCUGAUAAUGUUAUUUUUCAACUGAAAAACACCCAAAAAUUUAGAAAAUGUCAGAACACUUCUCUGAGUCACUCCUGUGUGGUGCAAAAAAUGGAAACUUAGAACAGGUGAAGCAGUCGUGGAUACCAGCAGAAGAUAGAUACGAAAGAGAUUUUUUGGGACAUAACGCCCUGACGUUGGCAAUAAUUCACGAUCAUUUUGACAUAUUUAAGUAUUUGGUGGACACAGGUUUUGUUUUAGACUUGGUCAACAAAACCUCCACAUAUAACUAUUUAAGAUCGACACAUACUUUAUAAAUGUAUAGGGGGUGUUUUGUUUGUAUUCAUCUACCGAGUAAAAAUUGUGCAUUUUACAA